rfam:Dipodomys ordii contig_43181, whole genome shotgun sequence.
GGGAAAGUGGCUCAGUGGUAGAGUGCUUGCCUUGCAUGCAUGAGGCCAUGGGUUCGAUUCCUCAGCACCA